GGUUCGGUGGCGUAGUUGGUUAUCGCAUCUGUCUUACAUUCCAAGUUCCGCGGAUUAUUGCACAGAAGGUCCCCAGUUCGAGCCUGGGUCGAAUCA